GAACGCUAGCGACAGGCUUAACACAUGCAAGUCGAGGGGCAGCACAGGUAGCAAUACCGGGUGGCGACCGGCGCACGGGUGAGUAACGCGUAUGCAACUUACCUAUCAGAGGGGGAUAACCCGGCGAAAGUCGGACUAAUACCGCAUGAAGCAGGGGCCCCGCAUGGGGAUAUUUGCUAAAGAUUCAUCGCUGAUAGAUAGGCAUGCGUUCCAUUAGGCAGUUGGCGGGGUAACGGCCCACCAAACCGACGAUGGAUAGGGGUUCUGAGAGGAAGGUCCCCCACAUUGGUACUGAGACACGGACCAAACUCCUACGGGAGGCAGCAGUGAGGAAUAUUGGUCAAUGGCCGAGAGGCUGAACCAGCCAAGUCGCGUGAGGGAUGAAGGUUCUAUGGAUCGUAAACCUCUUUUAUAAGGGAAUAAAGUGCGGGACGUGUCCCGUUUUGUAUGUACCUUAUGAAUAAGGAUCGGCUAACUCCGUGCCAGCAGCCGCGGUAAUACGGAGGAUCCGAGCGUUAUCCGGAUUUAUUGGGUUUAAAGGGUGCGUAGGCGGCCUUUUAAGUCAGCGGUGAAAGUCUGUGGCUCAACCAUAGAAUUGCCGUUGAAACUGGGAGGCUUGAGUAUGUUUGAGGCAGGCGGAAUGCGUGGUGUAGCGGUGAAAUGCAUAGAUAUCACGCAGAACCCCGAUUGCGAAGGCAGCCUGCCAAGCCAUUACUGACGCUGAUGCACGAAAGCGUGGGGAUCAAACAGGAUUAGAUACCCUGGUAGUCCACGCAGUAAACGAUGAUCACUAGCUGUUUGCGAUACACUGUAAGCGGCACAGCGAAAGCGUUAAGUGAUCCACCUGGGGAGUACGCCGGCAACGGUGAAACUCAAAGGAAUUGACGGGGGCCCGCACAAGCGGAGGAACAUGUGGUUUAAUUCGAUGAUACGCGAGGAACCUUACCCGGGUUUGAACGCAUUCGGACCGAGGUGGAAACACCUUUUCUAGCAAUAGCCGUUUGCGAGGUGCUGCAUGGUUGUCGUCAGCUCGUGCCGUGAGGUGUCGGCUUAAGUGCCAUAACGAGCGCAACCCUUGCCACUAGUUACUAACAGGUAAAGCUGAGGACUCUGGUGGGACUGCCAGCGUAAGCUGCGAGGAAGGCGGGGAUGACGUCAAAUCAGCACGGCCCUUACAUCCGGGGCGACACACGUGUUACAAUGGCGUGGACAAAGGGAAGCCACCUGGCGACAGGGAGCGAAUCCCCAAACCACGUCUCAGUUCGGAUCGGAGUCUGCAACCCGACUCCGUGAAGCUGGAUUCGCUAGUAAUCGCGCAUCAGCCAUGGCGCGGUGAAUACGUUCCCGGGCCUUGUACACACCGCCCGUCAAGCCAUGGGAGCCGGGGGGACAAGAAGUCCGUAACCGCGAGGA
rnacentral:rRNA from 1 species